UCACUCAGUUAUACUCAAUUAUUGCUACAGUAAUUGCUGCAUAGGAAGGAAAGAGUCCUCUUCUUUAGUGGACUUUCAGUAAAAAAAAGGUGAACGAGAGCACACCCCUUUUUCGACCCUAGGGGUGUACUCUCUUUUCUAAUUGCUGGUUUGGGAGUGAAAAUUCGUCUUCGUUCUUCGGGCGCCUACUCCUUGUUCCACUUGAGGGGGAUACCUCCUUGGUUUCGUAGAUUCUUAGUACUACUAUUCCAACACGGGCUUGGUUCAGGAGAUGAUUAGUCGUCUUCUCCCCGGCUUUCUUCUCGUGGAGAUACGAUUGAGGNN
rnacentral:lncRNA from 1 species